UGGACAAAAAACAGAGAGAGACGGAUAGGAGGAAAUAGAGAAAAAUGGGGAAAACACAAAUCUGAAAAAAAAGACACACCUACUCUUUUCUAUUUCAUCUUCUUCCUAAAAUCCUUCAUUAAACCACCCUCAAACAACCCCAAAGAGCCCAUUUUUUUAGCCAUGAAACCUCCAUUAAGCCACUCUUAAACUCCAUCAAACAACUCCAAAACACCACUGUUUACAGCUGAAAAAAUACAGCAAAAUGGCCAUUGAAAAUAGCUCCAAAAGCUCACCAAAAAUCAACAAUAAAGCCACCAAAAGCACCCCCAAGCUCAACUCGAAAACAGCCCCCAAAAGCCCCACAUUUUAGCCAAAAACUAACCCCAAAUGCACCACAAAAGUAGUUUUAAUUUUCUCCAUUAAUCACGUCGAAGCUCUGUCACCCGAGAUCGCCAGCGAGUUCUCCGUGCCUGGUUCGGUUUGUUCGAAUUCUCUCGUCGAGUUUUCAUGUUUGGAUUCAACAAAUCUUCAUAUAUAUAAAAGAUUCAGGCGUAGCUGGUCCCGCUCCCGAGUGCUGAUCAUUCCAGCUUCAGGCGGAUCCGAGGAGUCUUUAGGUAGCUGUUGGCGUUCACAGCCCGGAGCUCCUCCCUAUCUUAUCUCAUCUUUUCUUUAGUUUUCAUUUUAAACUAUAUAGUUUCUUUGGAGUAUUUCGUAUUGUUAGAUGCUCGUGACUUGUGACACCCCGGUAUCAGGCUGUGUUUGGGCUAUAUUCCGCAUAUUAUGCUACCUUUUGCUUAGACUUUGGUUUAUUUACUCAUGCUUAUACUGUUUAUUACUGAUUAAAUGUUUAAAAAGUGAAUUGGGUUUAA